AUGGGGACACUUCAGACUCAAUUAGGUGUUGCUGGUAGUAGCACCAUAGAAGAUCCAGAGGAAGAGAGAUCUCAACUUGAAGAAGAAAUACUCGAAGACGAGGAACAAGAUGAUCCAGAGCUCGAACAACCAAGUGAUCAAGUUGAAGAUUCAUCAUCUACUACUCUUGAAGAAGCAACAGAAGUUGCUGUAGAUGAACUUGAAGAACCAGAAAUUCAUUUGCCUAUUGUCAUACAAGAGCGUGAUGUAGCAGGUUUAUCUAAUCCUCUUGAUGACAUGCGUCCCUAUGACUUAUUUGCUUCUACCUUGCAUUACAUGAUACCAUCAAUUAAGGUAGAUUUGAGAAAGUAUUUUCUUGGAUAUGAUGAUAUAUACCAUGUUCAUGGCAUUGCUCACAUUUGUUACGAUUACACUUAUGCUAGACCCAUGCUUAAUGAAACAUGUCAUUCUCAUGUUAGUCUGGAGCUUAAUGAUAAAUAUCAUCCUCAUGUUAGCAUUGAGCUUACUGAUUUGUACCAUCCUAAACAUGUGCUUUAUAGCUAUGCUUAUGUAAUUGGAUAUUCGAUUGAUGACUUGGAGGGUAUUAGCCCUACCACUUGCAUUGUCUCUUUCAUUGAGUGCUCUUUCAGGUUCUUGCUUGUGCACGAUCCACUACAUGCUGACCAAGUUCGAGAUGACAUUCCCUGGGACCCCGGUGGACCUAUGGCAUGGGGAUGA
rnacentral:rRNA from 1 species